AACAACAAAUUUACUUUAACAUUAAAAAAUUGUUUUAAUUCAGAAAUCUUCUUGUCCAUAUAAUAAAGAAGAAAAAAGUCAAGACGAUUCGAAGUCAUCCUCGUCGUCGUCUUCAUCAUCAUCGUCAUCGUCAUCGGAAGAGAAUGACAAUGAUUGUAAUAAGAAGUCUUGUAACAGUCGUAAAGGAAAAAAUUGCAACGCAAAUUCCUCUUCGUCAGAGGAAGACAAUGAUUGCAGCGAGAAAUCUUCAUGUAAAAUGAGUGACAAUAAAUGCGAUGAUAAUAAUUCAUCAUCAUCGUCGUCAUCGUCGUCGUCAUCCUCAUCAGAGGAAGAUAAAGAAGGUGGCAAAGGGUGUGGUAAGGAUAACACAAAAGAGGACAGUGAUUCAUCUUCUUCGUCAUCGUCGUCGGAAGAAGACGGGAAAAGUAGUUGUCAAUAUAAGAAGCCGAAGUCCAAUAGUCAAUCGAAGAAGUCGCGUCACUUGAAGAAAAACUAGUUACACGAUGAAGCAAAAUAUAAUAGCAUAAAUAAGUUUCAAGACUAGGUAGGCUCCAUUCCAUUAAAUGUGGAUCGACGUAAACGUUAGCAUGGAAAUUAGAAUAACUUGUAACUUACUCCCGAGCACCCUAUAUAUAGGAUGCUCAGGAGUAAGUAUUUCCCAUAACUUCAAGUGUUGACAAGUUCACUUAUAGGAGCCAAACGGAUAACUAAUUUUAUUUUAAGUAAAAAAAAACUUUUUAUGAUUUUAUAAAAAAUAAUUAAAGUAAUUCCAACUAUUCAUGUAACACACGCCUUUAUUUACGGUAUCAUUGCAUUUUAAAAUACGUAAUCGUAGUGGUAAGACUGUCGAUAUUGACGAGAUAUUGCCUUCUGCACUUCACAAGUGAGCUACUUCAUGAUAUUUAUCAAUGAAUAAGUUUGGCGAGGUCGUAAUAUAAGGAUGUGAUGUAAGGGAUACAAUUUUAGAUCUAUUUACAAAAGAUAUAAUAUUUUCUACUUAUUCGUUUUAGAACACAUGUUCUGUAGAUAUUUUUAACUAAUUUUCAAGAAUAUAACACUAGAGUUAUGGGAAAUACUCCCGAGCACCCUGUAUAUCACUGUUUUUUGGACGCACGCGACAUAGUACGCGUUAAGUUCUGUUUUUCACAAAUCCCACGGGAACCAUGUAUUUUUUGAGAUUAAAGGUAGCCUAUAUGUUGCUCCAUAGCUUCCUUUGUCUUUCAGUGUCCCAUUAAAAUUGGUUUAGACGUUCUAGAGAUUAGCUCGGACGAACAGAAAGACAAACAAAAAUAAAAAAAAAAUAUAUUGUAAAUAGCUUUAGAAAAAAUAAAGUUAUUUUAUAAUCAAAGACAGACACUUCAGUUGUAUUUAUUUGUAUUGCUAGGUUUCGCGGUAGGAGCGAAACUAAUAAAAUAAAUAAAUUGUUUUGUAAUUGUAUUUUGA